GCCUGGAUAGCUUAGUGGUAAAGCACAGUCUUGGUAAGACUGAGAGCGCGGGUCCGAUCCCCGCUCCAGGCUCCA
rnacentral:tRNA from 1 species